rnacentral:rRNA from 1 species
GUAAUACGGAGGGGGUUAGCGUUGUUCGGAAUUACUGGGCGUAAAGCGUACGUAGGCGGAUUAGAAAGUAGGGGGUGAAAUCCCAAGGCUCAACCUCGGAACUGCCUCCUAAACUGCUGGUCUUGAGUUCGAGAGAGGUGAGUGGAAUUCCGAGUGUAGAGGUGAAAUUCGUAGAUAUUCGGAGGAACACCAGUGGCGAAGGCGGCUCACUGGCUCGAUACUGACGCUGAGGUACGAAAGUGUGGGGAGCAAACAGGAUUAGAUACCCUGGUAGUCCACACCGUAAACGAUGAAUGCCAGUCGUCGGGUAGUAUACUGUUCGGUGACACACCUAACGGAUUAAGCAUUCCGCCUGGGGAGUACGGUCGCAAGAUUAAAACUCAAAGGAAAUUGACAGGAG